CCAAAAAUGUGUCAUCUCUUCUGGACUUCACCGUGGCCACCUUAUGUAACUGGCAGGAGCUACAGUCCAGCACUGAUCCACCACUGCAUCUCCAUCUACAUGGUGACAUCAUACCUGACACACAGGAUCCCAAAAAUUCCCAGCAUUGCUACAGGCGAGGAGAAGAAGAAGAAGCCCUACAGCCCAGCUCCAUGCUCCUCCCACCACAACUCCCAUGGGCACUUGUCAACAUCCCAGUAAAAAAAGGAGAAUUGAACCCAUGCAACCUGGCCGUGCCCCAGGGACGCGCGGAGUGAGGGCCGGCGGCGGCUGAACAACAACCCCCCUGCUCUGCUCUUACAUCUCCCCCAUGGAAACUUUUCAACUCCAGUCCCUGGCAGGAGCCAGGCUGAUCCCAGCUGAAUUCCUUCCACUUACCAGCAAAUAAAUAGCAGUUAAAUGAAAGGAAAGAGAAAAAC
rnacentral:lncRNA from 1 species